UACGGGGGGGGCAAGCGUUGUUCGGAAUUACUGGGCGUAAAGGGCUCGUAGGCGGCCAACUAAGUCAGACGUGAAAUCCCCAGGCUUAACCUGGGAACUGCGUCUGAUACUGGAUGGCUUGAAUUCGGGAGAGGGAUGCAGAAUUCCAGGUGUAGCGGUGAAAUGCGUAGAGAUCCGGAGGAACGCCAGAGACGAAGGUGGCUACCUGGCCCUGACCUGACACUGAGGCGCGAAAGCGUGGGGAGCGAACCGG
rnacentral:rRNA from 1 species